rnacentral:rRNA from 1 species
GAUGAACGCUGGCGGCGUGCCUAAUACAUGCGAGUCGAGCGAACGGACGAGAAGCUUGCUUCUCUGAUGUUAGCGGCGGACGGGUGAGUAACACGUGGAUAACCUACCUAUAAGACUGGGAUAACUUCGGGAAACCGGAGCUAAUACCGGAUAAUAUUUUGAACCGCAUGGUUCAAAAGUGAAAGACGGUCUUGCUGUCACUUACAGAUGGAUCCGCGCUGCAUUAGCUAGUUGGUAAGGUAACGGCUUACCAAGGCAACGAUGCAUAGCCGACCUGAGAGGGUGAUCGGCCACACUGGAACUGAGACACGGUCCAGACUCCUACGGGAGGCAGCAGUAGGGAAUCUUCCGCAAUGGGCGAAAGCCUGACGGAGCAACGCCGCGUGAGUGAUGAAGGUCUUCGGAUCGUAAAACUCUGUUAUUAGGGAAGAACAUAUGUGUAAGUAACUGUGCACAUCUUGACGGUACCUAAUCAGAAAGCCACGGCUAACUACGUG